CGGGCUGCAGGCGGCGUCGGCCGGGCCGGGCCGGGUCCGCACGGGGUCGCCUCGCCCGGCGCACGGAGCCCGCGUGCGCGUGCGGACGCCAGGUUGUAAGACCUCUUAGGAGGCUGGGCUCCAUGGCUUCCUGGAAGAGCCCCUGGUGGCUGCUGGUAUGGAUGGUCUUCACACAUUCUGCUCUCCUGCAGAAUGGUUUGAUUCUUCCUUGAGAGGCUGACGGAAGACCUGCUCAUUUGCUGGAACUGAAGAUGGGAGCUGCUGGUGGAAAGAUGCCGGCCUGGAUGUGACAAGCCGGACCUGCUGGAGGAAGGACUACCCAUUUGUUGGCAGUCGUUUGUGGUCAUCAAUGCUUAGCUCAGUUGAGAGAGAAGGUGGAAUAUGUGGGAUGUACAAAGUGAAGCAAGUUCAAUGCCCUGUGGUAAAUCAAACCAAUUCCUUUCAGGGUAAACACUUUGCACGUAGACUGCAGAGUGGCUUCCAGUGCGGCGGUGGUCAGCCAGACAAUCACCACUACUUUCCCUCCUGCCCUGGUGCUCUGAUAGAAGCAGACCCUCCCAGACCUUGCCAGGCUCUUGCUGGGGUCCUGAGCAGUGGUCUGCCUUCCCUGGACAGGCUUUGUGGGCUUGCCUCUUGCAGGUAGCUGGAGGCUUCGGGCUGACCUUGGUGCCCUCCUUCCCUUCCUUGGGAGGUCCAGCAUGUGGCCUGCAUCACUGUUCACAGCUCCAGAGGCGGAGCACUUGUGCUGCCUGUUCUGUAAACACUUUCUGGGAUGCAUUAGCAGCUUCCAUGGGCACAGCCAGGAAAGCAUUUUGGUGCUCAGAGAGGGGAAGGAACGCAUGCUGUGGCAUGCGGCCAUGCUCCGGCAGGCUCUUUUAGGCCCUGCCUGUGAGGGGCUGUUUACCCAGGCACUACCUACUGGGCACCUGGCUGCUGAAUGCUGAGGUCUAUUGGAUUUUUACCAAGGUACUUAGAACCAGGCAUUUUAAAAGGUAACGGAAAGUUUUUGCAGAGAGGGAGAAUGAAUCAGCCACUGUUUC
rnacentral:lncRNA from 1 species